UACAAUCUCAUUCCCUCAUCUCACCGUUUAGGUAUUCAGGGGUUGAGGGUCUGAAUACCCAUUCAAGGCAACACCGUUUAGGUUUUAGACGAAAAUAGCCUUCCUCUCUUCUUCCCAAAAUUCACUCCAGAUUUCUUCCUCCCCAAAUUAAGCAUCCAUUCGCCCUUCAUCUUCAUCUCCCGUGAAAUCCAGAAGUACCAGCAAAGUACUGAACUCCUCAUCAAGAAACUGCCUUUCGAAAGGCUCGUUCGUGAAAUUGCCCAAGACUUUUUAAGUGUGUUAUUGCUUCCUCUUCUUCUUUGGCUUGUUCGAUUGUUUCCUCUACCCACAGUUAAGCGUCUUGUAAAUCACUAUAAUUAUGUCAGGUGCUUCAGAAUCAAAUGUUUCUUCCCAAACAUCUCGAGGAACCAAAAGAAAAUGGGUUCCAGAAGAAGAUGCAGCUGUAUGGUGGACUUGCACAAUGUUGGAACCUUAAAUGCUGAUACGGGGUUCAAAGCCGGUUAUUUAAAUGAGUUGGAAAAAUGUUAGAAAAAGCUUUACCCAAUACAUUCUAUGCAUCAUGCAUCAUGAAUUACUUUUCAUCACUACUAUUUUAAUUACAUUCACUUAUCAUACAUUCUCUUUGUAACCUAUUCCAACUUAUUUCUAUGAAAUAUAAAUGAGAUUGAUAUUAA